GAUGAACGCUAGCUACAGGCUUAACACAUGCAAGUCGAGGGGAAACGAUGAGAGAGCUUGCUCUCUUAGGCGUCGACCGGCGCACGGGUGAGUAACGCGUAUCCAACCUACCCAUUACAGGGGGAUAACCUUGCGAAAGUAAGACUAAUACCCCAUGGCAUUUUAUGGUGGCAUCAUUAUAGGAUUAAAGAUUUAUUGGUAAUGGAUGGGGAUGCGUCUGAUUAGCUUGUUGGCGGGGUAACGGCCCACCAAGGCAACGAUCAGUAGGGGUUCUGAGAGGAAGGUCCCCCACAUUGGAACUGAGACACGGUCCAAACUCCUACGGGAGGCAGCAGUGAGGAAGAUUGGUCAAUGGGCGAGAGCUUGAACCAGCCAAGUAGCGUGCAGGAUGACGGCCCUAUGGGUUGUAAACUGCGUUUAUAGGGGAAUAAAGUGAGCUACGUGUAGUUUAUUGCAGGUACCCUAUGAAUAAGGACCGGCUAAUUCCGU
rnacentral:rRNA from 1 species